GUGCUUGCUUCGGCAGCAUAUACACUAGAAUUGAAAUGAUGCAGGGAAGAUUACCUUGGCCCCUGCACAAGGAUUACACGCAAAUUUGUGAAGCGUUCCAUAUUUUU